UCAGGAUGAACGCUAGCGGCAGGCUUAACACAUGCAAGUCGAGGGGUAACGCGAGGUAGCAAUACUUGGCGACGACCGGCGCACGGGUGCGUAACGCGUAUGCAACCUACCUGUAACAGGGGAAUAACGGAGUGAAAAUUCCACUAAUGCCCAUAUUGUCAUUCUUUCGCAUGUUGGGAUGACGAAAGCUUCGGUGGUUACGGAUGGGCAUGCGUGACAUUAGGUAGUUGGUGAGGCAACGGCUCACCAAGCCGACGAUGUCUAGGGGAGCUGAGAGGCUUAUCCCCACACUGGUACUGAGACACGGACCAGACUCCUACGGGAGGCAGCAGUGAGGAAUAUUGGUCAAUGGACGGAAGUCUGAACCAGCCAUGCCGCGUGGAGGGAAAAGAAGGUCCUAUGGGUUGUAAACUCCUUUUGUUCGAGAGUAAUAAGUGGGAUGCGUCCCGCGAUGAGAGUAUCGGACGAAUAAGCAUCGGCUAACUCCGUGCCAGCAGCCGC
rnacentral:rRNA from 1 species